ACGAGCAGCGAGUACUCCCUUGGCCGGAAGGCCCGGGUAAUCUUGUUAAACUCUGUCGUGCUGGGGAUAGAGCAUUGCAAUUAUUGCUCUUCAACGAGGAAUCCCUAGUAAGCGCAAGUCAUCAGCUUGCGUUGAUUACGU
rnacentral:rRNA from 1 species